rnacentral:rRNA from 1 species
UACGAAGGGGGCUAGCGUUGCUCGGAAUCACUGGGCGUAAAGCGCACGUAGGCGGAUUGCUAAGUCAGGGGUGAAAUCCUGGAGCUCAACUCCGGAACUGCCUUUGAUACUGGCGAUCUCGAGUCCGGGAGAGGUGAGUGGAACUGCGAGUGUAGAGGUGAAAUUCGUAGAUAUUCGCAAGAACACCAGUGGCGAAGGCGGCUCACUGGCCCGAUACUGACGCUGAGGUGCGAAAGCGUGGGGAGCAAACAGG